CUGAUCCAGCAGGCUAGUUCUUAUGUUCUUAUCUCCUCCUCCAAAUUCUGCCGUCGAGGAAUGCUGGAGACGGAAGUCAUGCCCCCUGUGGAAAAACCACUGUCAUAUUAAAAUGUUUAUUUUCUAUGUUAUAAUAACAAGUAAAGGACAGGAUAAUUCAAGAUAACAACAGAGAUAGACAUUUCCUCUUGUUUCGCAAUGCAUUUUUUCUUUCUUGUUUAGAAGAUGGGAAGGAAUCUAGAAAUUAUGACAAAAUAGAUGAGAUAAUGUAUUUCAUUUAUUUCACUGUAGGAGAAAUGUUAAGAAAUUGAAGAAGCAAAUGAUUAAAUAGAAAACAUUGAAAACGAUGAUAGAAAGAAUAUAUUCAUAAUGAGGAGUGUUGUAUUAUUUGGUUUUCAGACUGAGCUAAUAUAAUACGUAUCAUAUUUUCUUUUCUUGGAUAGUUCCGUACAAUAGUUUUGUGUUUAUUACAUAUUGUAACUUGUAUUUUCUUGUUUUCUCUUGAUUCUGUAUUGUUGUAUUUUAAUUGACUUUUACAAUCAAAAUUAAGAAAA